AACAUUGGCUGUUUAAUGUGUUGUUUUUCAUUGCAGGCUCUGGAUGAGCAGGAAGGAGUGCUGAGACAACAAAUAGAGCAAUUGGAUAAACAAGUAAAGGAGAGCACACCAGACAAGAACAAGCUCAAACAACUGCAGGAUUCAGUGAAAUCCCAUGAAAAAGAAUGGCAGAAAGCAACAGCGUCAGCGACACAAGUUGAAACACAAGUGCAAAGCCUUCACAAGCAGAUAAUGGAAAUUGGUGGUGCAAAGCUCAAAAUGCAGCAGGUCAGUUUUUUUUUUUUUUUUUUUUAACUUUGGCAUGCUGUU